rnacentral:rRNA from 1 species
GACGAACGCUGGCGGCGUGCUUAACACAUGCAAGUCGAACGGAAAGGCCCUGCUUUUGUUGGUUGCUCGAGUGUCGCACGGGUGAGUAACACGUGAGUAACCUGCCCUUUACUUUGGGAUACCUUCAGUAAACUCGGGCUCUUACCGGAUAUGAGCUCCUGCUGCAUGGUGGGGGUUGGAAAGUUUCGGCGGUUGGGGUUGGACUCGCGGCUUAUCAGCUUGUUGGUGGGGUGGUGGCUUACCAAGGCUUUGACGGGUAUCCGGGCUGAGAGGGUGACCGGAAACAUUGGGACUGAGAUGAGGCCCAGACUCCUAUGGGAGGCAGCAGUGGGGAAUAUUGCACAAUGGGAGGAAGCAUGAUGCAGCAAAGCGGCGUGCGGGAGAAGGGCAAGCGGGUUGUAAACCGCUUUCGCCUGGGACGAAGCGUGAGUGACGGUAAUGGGUAAAGAAGCACCGGCUAACUACGUG